UAGAGAGGCCAAAGGAACCAGGAUUGAAAUCUUUGCGUACAGCUAGAGAUCUCCGAGAGGGAAUGGUUAGUAACCUAGAAAACAAGACAUUCACAGCCAACUAUAUUGCAAUCUUCAAGAAGGCUAAAACCUUAUGUAUAUCUCUGCAGGAAGUGUUGGUCACCUGCAUAAGAUACUUUUGAUAAAUCAAGUGCGCUAUAGUGAGCCACAGGAUCCGGGACAUGACUGCUGCUAUUGAAAAGGUUAUCAAAUACCUUGGAACUGGAAGGUUUUAGUUGAUGAGUGAGUGAAUCCAAUACAUCAAAUAACCAAUAUUGGACAAAUGGGUUCAAU